rnacentral:rRNA from 1 species
UACGGGGGGGGCAAGCGUUGUUCGGAAUUACUGGGCGUAAAGGGCGCGUAGGCGCCUUCUAAGUCAGACGUGAAAUCCCCAGGCUUAACUUGGGAACUGCGUCUGAUACUGGAAGGCUUGAGUGCGGGAGAGGGAUGUGGAAUUCCAGGUGUAGCGGUGAAAUGCGUAGAUAUCUGGAGGAACACCGGUGGCGAAGGCGGCAUCCUGGACCGACACUGACGCUGAGGCGCG